AUACGUAGGUGGCAAGCGUUGUCCGGAAUUAUUGGGCGUAAAGCGCGCGCAGGCGGUCCUUUAAGUCUGAUGUGAAAGCCCACGGCUCAACCGUGGAGGGUCAUUGGAAACUGGGGGACUUGAGUGCAGAAGAGGAAAGUGGAAUUCCAAGUGUAGCGGUGAAAUGGGUAGAGAGUUGGAGGUACACCAGUGGCGAAGGCGCCUUUAUGUGCUGUAACGGACGCUGAGGCGCGAAAGCGUGGAGAGCAAUCAGAAGUAUAUACCCUGGUAGACAACGCCGUAAACGAUGAGUUCUAAGUGUUAGGGGGUUUCCGCCCCUUAGUGCUGCAGCUAACGCAUUAAGCAAUCCGCCUGGGGAGUACGGUCGCAAGACUGAAACUCAAAGUAAUUGGCGGGG
rnacentral:rRNA from 1 species